rnacentral:rRNA from 1 species
AUGAAGGCGUAUGGUUUCGGGCAAAGAUGGAGAGAUAUCAUCAGUUUACUGCUUGCUUCCUCGACCUCUCGAGUUCUGCUCAACGGUUCACCCGGACCUGCUUUUGCACAUAGAAAAGGAUUGCGUCAAGGGGACCCGUUGUCACCAAUGCUGUUUAUCUUGGCAAUGGAUCCGCUCCUUAGAAUUCUGGACAGUGCAACUGCUCAGGGUAUUCUAAGUCCCAUGCCACGGAAUGUAGCAAGAAUGAGGGCCAGUCUUUAUGCGGAUGACAGAGCAAUUUUUGCCUUUCCGGAUCGCCGGCGGAUUGAGGCCAUUAUCAGAAUUCUUGAUGUAUUCGGGAGCAUCUCGGGUCUUACUAUCAACCCCAAUAAAUGUGUGAUUUACCCCAUACAGUGUCAGCAAAGUAUUGUACAAAAUCUGAUAACAAACUUUGGAGGCUCAGUGGGUUCAUUUCCCAGCAAAUACCUGGGACUGCCUCUAUCCUUGAGAAACUUGAGACGAAUAGAGCUACAACCAUUAUUGGACAAGGGUAAAAGCAGAUUAUCUAUCUGGAAAGGGAAGCUGAUGAACAGAAUGGGCAGACUAGAUCUGAUCAACUCGGCUCUCACAGCCACCAUCACUUACUUUCUCACUGCCUUCUCUCCCAAUAGCUAG